AUAUUUUUUUAGAUUUUCACUUCUAAGGACCCAAAAAAAUAUCACUUGAAAAACGGACAAGUUUUGCAGCAUGGCGGAAGGCGAUCCAUUUGAUAAUUCGACUUGGAGGCAAAGAGUAAAUACUUUAUCUACAGAUUUAAAUAAUACGGAAGAUGAAAAUGAUACAAUUGGGGCACUUAACAGACAUGCGCGAAAUGUUACUUGGGAAUAUAUUGGUCAUCCGGGAAUAUCGCCACUUUUGUUUUUUGGAGGAAGAUGAUGAAAACCUACGUGAACAAUUGCUUCACGCAUUGCAUACUAAUCCUCCCGACGAUAAUGAUGAGUCACGUGAACCAUUGCUUCAAGAGGGGGAGGAUGAUGAUCCAGGCAAUGGAGUUGAAGAAAGCACGGUAUAAUAAGCUCAGUAGCAAUAACCAUGUAUUAAAGCCAUUCAUUUAAUAAAUACAAAUAUUGAAUGUAAAACGGUAUAAUG
rnacentral:lncRNA from 1 species